rnacentral:rRNA from 1 species
AGGAAAAGAAACUAAACAAAGGAUUUCCCUUUAGUAACUGCGAGUGAACAGGGAUAAGCCCAGCACCGAAGCCUGUGGUCAUUUGAUCAUUAGGCAAUGUGGUGUUUAGGUUAUCUCGCAGAAGCACUGCUCCACCCUAAGUCCAAAAAUGAGUACGGUUGUACGGACAUGGCCCAAAGAGGGUGAAAGGCCCGUGGGGGUGGAGAUUCGGUAUGACAGUGCUUCUCUGAGCAAACCUUUGAGUCGGGUUGUUUGAGAUUGCAGCCCAAAGUGGGUGGUAAACUCCAUCCAAGGCUAAAUACUUGCACGAGUCCGAUAGCGAACAAGUACCGUGAGGGAACGUUGAAAAGUACUUUGAAGAGAGAGUAAACAGUGCGUGAAACCGCUCAGAGGUAAACGGGUGGAGUUGAACUGCGAACCCUGAGAAUUCAACUGGUGAGUGUGGUAUGAGCUUGGCAUGAUGGUUGGCUCUGCGGGUCUGCUUAGCUGCAGGUCUUCACCUUUUGGUGGGGAUGCGCGAUACACUUGUCAAGUGGUGCGCGCUCGUUGAGUUACUCGGACAUGCUUGCCAGUGCACUUUCUCGGGGUGUUCACCACGACCGGCGCCGCUACUUGGCUAAUAUGGUUAAACCGUUCUUGCUUGGUCCUUGUGGCUUUGCUUGAUCGGGAUGGCAGGUAACUCGUUAGCUUGUGUGUUGGCCUCGGCUGGCAUGCGCUUGGUUUUCGAGUGUAAUCAGCUGACUGUAUUGGUGCUAUGUAGUGCGUCGGAGACGGCGGCUUGUGGUGUGUGCGUGCGUGCCUAUUCGCUGACGGGACCGGGUUCGGUUAUUUUGUUGCCUGUUCUGCAGGCCUGGUGAUAGCCCGGUUUCGCUUGGUGGAUGGGAGCGUGUGUGACACUUAUCAGGGCCUAUAGUCUGUGGUGUUGUGGUAGACUAUCCACCCUGACCCGGUCUUGAAACACGGACC